GUGCUUGCUUCAGCAGCACAUAUACUAUAAUUGGAAUAAUACAGGGAAAAUUAGCAUGGCCCUGUGCAAGAUGACAUGCAAAUUCAUGAAGUGUUACAUAUUUUU